GCCAGGCACGGUGGUGUGCGCCUGUAGUCCCAGCUACUCGGGAGGCUGAGGCAGGAGGAUCGCUUGAGCCCAGGAGUUCUGGGCUGCAGCAUGCUAUGGAGAUUUGGUGUCUGCACUAAGUUCAGCAUCGAUAUGGUGACCUCCAGUGAGCGGGGGACCACCAGGUUCCCUAAGGAGGGGUGAACCAACCCAGGUCAGAAAAAUGACAGAGAGUUCAAAAUAUUCACAGAUAAACAGAAACUAAGAGAGUAUGCCAACAAGAAUCCUGCCCUUCAAGAAAUAUUAAAGGGAGUUCUGCA
rnacentral:sRNA from 1 species